rnacentral:rRNA from 1 species
AUUGAACGCUGGCGGCAUGCCUUACACAUGCAAGUCGAACGGCAGCACGGGAGCAAUCCUGGUGGCGAGUGGCGAACGGGUGAGUAAUAUAUCGGAACGUGCCCAGUCGUGGGGGAUAACGCAGCGAAAGCUGUGCUAAUACCGCAUACGAUCUACGGAUGAAAGCGGGGGAUCGCAAGACCUCGCGCGAUUGGAGCGGCCGAUAUCAGAUUAGCUAGUUGGGGAGGUAAAGGCUCACCAAGGCGACGAUCUGUAGCUGGUCUGAGAGGACGACCAGCCACACUGGAACUGAGACACGGUCCAGACUCCUACGGGAGGCAGCAGUGGGGAAUUUUGGACAAUGGGCGCAAGCCUGAUCCAGCAAUGCCGCGUGCAGGAUGAAGGCCUUCGGGUUGUAAACUGCUUUUGUACGGAACGAAACGGUGAGCUCUAAUACAGUUUGCUAAUGACGGUACCGUAAGAAUAAGCACCGGCUAACUACGUGCCAGCAGCCGCAGUAA